UACGUAGGGUGCAAGCGUUGUCCGGAAUUAUUGGGCGUAAAGAGCUCGUAGGCGGUCUGUCGCGUCGGAUGUGAAAACCCGGGGCUUAACCCCGGGCCUGCAUUCGAUACGGGCAGACUCGAGUGUGGUAGGGGAGACUGGAACUCUUGGUGUAGCGGUGAAAUGCGCAGAUAUCAGGAAGAACACCGGUGGCGAAGGCGGGUCUCUGGGCCACUACUGACGCUGAGGAGCGAAAGCGUGGGGAGCGAACAGG
rnacentral:rRNA from 1 species